rnacentral:lncRNA from 1 species
CUGGGGGCUCCCCCGCUCCGGAGCGUCAGCAAUGCGCUGGCUCCGACGCCGAGUUUCGGGGAGAAAAAAAAUGAUAUUUUUGUCGUGCUGUCGAAAGAAAAGAAAAGGGGGGAGGGGGAGGGAGAGGAGAGCCAAAGCAACUGGAAGGAGCCCGAGAAUCUUGAACCAGAACGCACUCAAAGAUGAGAGAAGAAAAAAAAAUCCUUCCAGAAGAGUUUGCAGGCUGGGGUGGGGAGGGGUAUUUUUUUUUUUUUUUUUGGCGAGGUAGCGUGGGGGACCCAGAGCUGCGAGCAGAGAAAAGGGGGGAAAAAGUUUCUCGAGGGAGAAAAAAAAGUUUCCUCUCUUCUGCAAAAGGCGGGCAGGGCACCCUAAGUCCAAAGACAAUCCAUGGAUGUACUCGGUUCUUCACAAGUUGUGCAAACGAUUUGUUAGUUCAUGAGCCUAAUUAGUGCGGGGAUCACAUAAACAGCUUCCUCUGAAGCCUGGUAAAUGGCUUGAUGAUUGGUCGCUAUUACUCGCCUUGAGGUGGAAGGGGGGAGACUCUUUAAAGUGCGUCAGAGGGAGGCGAGCUGCUGGGAACCUGGAGGGCUGGAUCCGGGCCCGGAGUGGAACGGAGUCGAGGGCUGCCUGAGCCGCUGCUCUUGCGCUUGUCGGCUCUUGCGCCUUCUCCCAGUGCUCACCAAGGCGGCGGCAGCUGCAGUUUCUUCACCUUCUCCUCCUCUUCCUCCUUCUUCGUCCCCUCCUCCUCCUCUUCCUUCUUCUUCGUCUCCUCCUCCUCUUCCUCCUCUUCCUCUUCCUCCUCCUCCUUCUCCACCUCCUCCUCUCUCUCCCCCGCCUCCUUCUCCACCUCUACCACCACUCCCUCCGGGGCGCCCAGGUCCCAACAGAGUCCCCGCCGGGCGCUGCCGCCGCCACCAUCCACAGCUUCCCCUCCCAACCCGAGCCAGCUGCCACGGGGGCAGGCCAGUUGUGGACACUAAAAGAUUCCCUGGCUGAGCGUCUCCUGGGUCUCAUACCUCUUUCCUUGCUCUCUAUUCCGGAGCCCUGGGAGCCUUGGAUAUGCUUCAGGAGGGAUAUGAACAACCAAGUAUCUACCCCAAUGGCCAACCACUCUGGAAGUAUGGUCCUGGUUUCCUUUCUGUUUUCCACCUUUUCAUUUGAAACUGCGCAUUUCCGGUCAAAAGACCCUGAGGUUGUCCUGGUUUAAACCGGACUUUGCAGACACCGAGGUGUUUCCUUGGAGAAAAAAAUGAUCUGAAUCAGAAAUCCUUCCAGCAUGGGGCAUGCUUUCCUAAGAGACAAAUUACUCCAAGCACAUCUGCUUUGACAAGUUGCAACUUAUAUCCUUCUACGGUGUUUCUGUUCUUUUGAAAAUGUUAAUAAAAACUUAAUGUGGA